rnacentral:rRNA from 1 species
GACGAACGCUGGCGGCGUGCUUAACACAUGCAAGUCGAGCGGUAAGGCCCUUUCGGGGUACGACGAGCGGCGAACGGGUAGGAGUAACACGUGGGUGACCUGCCCUCCAGCUCUGGGAGUAAGCCUGGGAAACCGGGGUACUAAUACCGGAUAUGACUCCAUGACGCAUGUUGUGGGGUGGAAAGCCUUGUGCGGCUGAGGAUGGGCCCGCGGCCUAUCAGCUUGUUGGU